rnacentral:rRNA from 1 species
GACGAACGCUGGCGGCGUGCUUAACACAUGCCAGUCGAACGGAAAGGCCCUGCUCUUGUGGGGUGCUCGAGUGGCGAACGGGUGAGUAACACGUGAGUAACCUGCCCUUGACUUUGGGAUAACUUCAGGAAACUGGGGCUAAUAUCGGAUAGGAGCUCUUGCUGCACGGUGGUGGUUGGAAAGUUUCGGCGGUUGGGGAUGGACUCGCAGCUUAUCAGCUUGUUGGUGGGGUAGUUGCUUACCAAGGCUUUGACGGAUAGCCGGCCUGGGAGGGUGACCGGCCACAUUGGGACUGAGGUACGGCCCAGACGCCUACGGGAGGCAGCGGUGGGGAGUAUUGCACAAUAGGCGGAAGCCUGAUGCAGCAGCGCCGCGUGCGGGAUACCGGCCUUCGGGUUGUAAACCGCUUUCGCCUGUGACGAAGCGUGAGUGACGGUAAUGAGUAAAGAAGCACCGGCUAACUACGUG